UACGUAGGGGGCAAGCGUUGUCCGGAUUUAUUGGGCGUAAAGCGCGCGUAGGCGGCUCGGUAUGUCGUGCGUGAAAUCUCCCGGCUUAACUGGGAGGGGCCGUGCGAAACUGCCGGGCUUGAGGUCGGAAGGGGAAAGUGGAAUUCCGGGUGUAGUGGUGGAAUACGUAGAUAUCCGGAGGAACACCAGCGGCGAAGGCGGCUUUCUGGUCCGAUACUGACGCUGAGGUGCGAAAGCGUGGGGAGCGAUCCGG
rnacentral:rRNA from 1 species